AGAGUUUGAUCAUGGCUCAGGAUGAACGCUGGCGGUAUGCCUAACACAUGCAAGUCGAACGAUGUCUUCGGACAUAGUGGCGGACGGGUGAGUAACGCGUGAGAAUCUGCCUCUAGGAUGGGGAUAACGGUUGGAAACGACCGCUAACACCCAAUAUGCCGUAAGGUGAAAAAUUUAUUGCCUGGAGAGGAGCUCGCGUCUGAUUAGCUAGUUGGUGGGGUAAGAGCUCACCAAGGCUUCGAUCAGUAGCUGGUCUGAGAGGAUGAGCAGCCACACUGGGACUGAGACACGGCCCAGACUCCUACGGGAGGCAGCAGUGGGGAAUUUUCCGCAAUGGGCGAAAGCCUGACGGAGCAAUACCGCGUGAGGGAGGAAUGCCUUUGGGUUGUAAACCUCUUUUCUCAGGGAAGAAGAUCUGACGGUACCUGAGGAAUAAGUAUCGGCUAACUCCGUGCCAGCAGCCGCGGUAAUACGGAGGAUGCAAGCGUUAUCCGGAAUCAUUGGGCGUAAAGCGUCCGCAGGUGGUUUCCAAAGUCUGCUGUUAAAGACUGGAGCUCAACUCCGGAACGGCGGUGGAAACUUGGAAACUAGAGUUCGGUAGGGGUAGCAGGAAUUCCCAGUGUAGCGGUGAAAUGCGUAGAUAUUGGGAAGAACAUCGGUGGCGAAGGCGUGCUACUGGACCGUAACUGACACUCAGGGACGAAAGCUAGGGGAGCGAAA
rnacentral:rRNA from 1 species